GAUGAACGCUGGCGGCGUGCCUAAUACAUGCAAGUCGAGCGAACAGAUGAGGAGCUUGCUCCUCUGACGUUAGCGGCGGACGGGUGAGUAACACGUGGAUAACCUACCUAUAAGACUGGGAUAACUUCGGGAAACCGGAGCUAAUACCGGAUAAUAUAUUGAACCGCAUGGUUCAAUAGUGAAAGACGGUUUUGCUGUCACUUAUAGAUGGAUCCGCGCCGCAUUAGCUAGUUGGUAAGGUAACGGCUUACCAAGGCAACGAUGCGUAGCCGACCUGAGAGGGUGGUCGGCCACACUGGAACUGAGACACGGUCCAGACUCCUACGGGAGGCAGCAGUAGGGAAUCUUCCGCAGUGGGCGAAAGCCUGACGGAGCAACGCCGCGUGAGUGAUGAAGGUCUUCGGAUCGUAAAACUCUGUUAUUAGGGAAGAACAAAUGUGUAAGUAACUAUGCACGUCUUGACGGUACCUAAUCAGAAAGCCACGGCUAACUACGUG
rnacentral:rRNA from 1 species